UCUUUUGACCUCCAAAAAAAAAAAAAAAAAAGGUUAAAAAAAGGUUAAAAAAAAAAGUCUGAUUAAUCUGUUUACGUGUUUCAAACUCAUCUGAUCAUCUUGCCCCUGCUGGACUUUCUUUAGUGAUGUUGUUGGAUGCCCAGAUCUCAACUUUGACUGAGGAGCUAUCAUGAACAGCGAGGGUCCAGAUACUGUGGUGGAUGUUGACCGGACAAACAGCGGGGCUCAGUGAUUGGUCCUUAAGGCACACUUACAGGUGAUUCGCCUACUUUCUGGCUGCUGAUUGGUGGACUGAAAGCGCUACCGCCCCUACCCCAGGACACUGAACACGGUGAAUCCAGGAGUCUCUGCCGGUUGUGGGCGAGUUCAGUCGCCGGCGCUUUAUCGAAUAAAAAAAGAGACAAAAAGGUUUUAAAAGCCAUCAAAUCCAGCGCAAAUCCACCAAGUUGACAACACUCCCUCUAUAACUCCGUCUGACAGCUGAGGCCUGGAAGGACGCGGCCGGCCAUUGAGAGUCUCCCACUGUUUGUUGCUGGGCAGGUAGCAAACAGUGGGUUUAUCAGACUUCUUGCAGAAGAAACAGCUGCCUGCAGAAGCUGGAAAGGAUGCCAAUGAGAGUGGUAAGAAUAUAUCCAAACGAGAAAGUUAGGGGAUGUAACACAAACAAAGAAAACGUUAACGUUUUAUAAUACAGCCUGUGAUUUACAGAGUAAUUUUGUUGUAUGAAUCAUGUAUCAAUAAAACACCGGUUCCAGCUGUACUUAGAUCUGUGUAUAAUGAAAGAAAAUAAGACCAUUGGGAACAAGGGAGUAAGAACAUUCCUGACAUUUUGGGGGGAAAAUGGCCUUAACAGCUCAGAUAUUCUGUAGAACCUAUGAGGUGAUUCUGGUGUAAUGUAUUUCACAGUUAUGAUAUGCUACAGUGCAGAUACAGUAAAAUCUCUCAAACUUGCAUAUUGCUGAAGAGCAUAAAAAAUAUGUGCGUUAUGUUCCCAAAAUGACAAUGGACACUCACCACUGAUGGGGCACAACAAUGUAGUUUUGGGUUAGGAAACUCGAAUCUUGGAAUAAUGUGAGACUGAUCAGUUGUUUAUGGAGUAGGUAAACCGGAUUGACUACAUUGCAAUAAAAACAGAUGCUUUUACCAUUGGCUCCUUUGCAAGGCUGAGGGGAACGUAUGAUAAUUCUCUGUGGGUCAGACGCUACAAUCGACCCUUUUCACAUUACUCACAGUCAUGUAAUCCAUUACUGAUAUAAAGCAUUGAUCCGAGAGCAGAGCAUCCAGUCAAAACCCAUUAGAAACCCAGUGACAUACAGACUACCGUCACUGCUGAUAAAAUCUGUCCAGACUAUAUGAGAUGGUUUCAGUUCCAAUUUUAUCAGAUGUAGUGUUUGAAAAGAUGUGACUAAGACAGUUUACUUUCUUUGACCUUUGACAACUUGUAGAGCAUGCAGGCUCCUCCUCAGUUUCACAUCUAGUGUUGGCCUUUUAGCAGAAGUUGGAGGUGCUUUGUGUCUUAGAGGGAAGCAGACAGUAUUGUAUUCAGAUUUUCCCAUUUGCUGGGGAUUCAAAUUUCACAUUUUAGUCCUAGGUCCACUUCUCUAAUUUAAAGGCGAUCAUUUCCUGCACACGCUUUGACCUUUUUUUAUUGGAGAGUCACAACAGAGUUUGUUGAUUUUGUUAUUGCACAUGAGGCAGUGACUGAAAUGAGUAACUUUAUCCCCGUUUCUUCCUCCUUCAUCUCUCUGGAACCCCGGCAACUACAGCAUCAUGCAAAAAAAAAAAAAAAGCCACUAGUACAGGCACUGGUAUUUGUUCUCAGACAGUUAACACUACCACAUGAUAAACAAUUGAUUCAACAUGAGAACCCGCAUGUGACUAAAGCUAUAAUUAAACAAAUCAAAAAAUAGUACAUCCUGUCAACAUGACUUAAAAUCACAUGACUCAUCAUCAUUGACAAGACAGAGGAAGUGAGGAUGGACGUUUUUCCCCCUUUUUUGUAUUACAUUCAAUAAAAACAUAAAAAAGAGCUAUUGAUCAUCUAACGGUGUUCUGCAUGGUGCAGGAAUUGUGGCUGACGUAUCAAGUAAAACUUGUAAAACAUAAUUUGACUUUGUAAUUGUAUUUGUUUUGUGCCUACAUCUUUCUUGUGAUCAUGUGACUUGAUUGCUGUAAAACUGUAAUUUCCCCGUGGGAUUAAUAAAGUAAUUUUAGCUAUCUAA